UGGGUCAUUAUGGGUCUCUAUGGGUCGCUCUGGCUCUGGUUAUGGGUCCCUAUGGGUCGCUAUGGGUCUCUAUGGGUCUCUAUGGGUCUCUAUGUGUCUCUAUGGGUCCCUAUGGGUCCCUAUGGGUCUCUAUGGGUCCCAGUGCUUUUCUAUGGGUCUCGAUGGGUCUCUGUGGGUCGCUAUGGGUCGCAGUGGGUCUCUAUGGGUUGCAGUGGGUCGCUCUGGGUCUGGUUAUGGGUCGCUAUGGGUCGCAGUGGGUCUCUAUGGGUCGCGGUGGGUCGCUAUGGGUCUGGUUAUGGGUCCCUAUGGGUCGCAGUGGGUUGCUAUGGGUCUGGUUAUGGGUCUCUAUGGGUCCCUAUGUGUCUCUAUGUGUCCCUAUGGGUCGCUAUGGGUCCCUAUGGGUCGCUAUGGGUCGCAGUGGGUUGCUAUGGGUCUGGUUAUGGGUCUCUAUGGGUCCCUAUGUGUCCCUAUGUGUCUCUAUGGGUCGCUAUGGGUCUCUCUCUAUCGGUCUCUAUGGGUUGCUAUGGGUCUCUAUGGGUCGCUAUGGGUCUCUAUGGGUCUCUAUGGGUCGCUAUGGGUCACUAUGGGUCCCUAUGGGUCUGGUUAUGUGUCGCUAUGGGUCCCAGUGGGUCUCUCUGGGUCUGGUUAUGUGUCGCUAUGGGUCCCAGUGGGUCUCUCUGGGUCUGGUUAUGGGUCUCUAUGGGUCGCAGUGGGUCUCUAUGGGUCCCUAUGGGUCGCUAUGGGUCCCUAUGGGUCGCUAUGGGUCGCAGUGGGUUGCUAUGGGUCUGGUUAUGGGUCUCUAUGGGUCUCUAUGGGUCCCUAUGUGUCUCUAUGUGUCUCUAUGGGUCGCUAUGGGUCGCUAUGGGUCCCUAUGGGUCCCUAUGGGUCUCUAUGGGUCUCUAUGGGUCGCUAUGGGUCGCUAUGGGUCGCUAUGGGUCCCUAUGGGUCUCUAUGGGUCGCAGUGGGUCUCUAUGGGUCGCAGUGGGGCUGACCAGCGCAGGUCCCUGAGCAGCUCCCAGUGCCGCGCGCUGUGGGGCCGGGCCUGGGGGGCGGAGCUCAGCGCCUCCAAAGUCUCCGCCCACGUCGGGGUGGCCCCGCCCCCCAGGCGAAGCCCCGCCCCCAGCAGCUCCAGCAGC
rnacentral:lncRNA from 1 species